rnacentral:rRNA from 1 species
UACAGAGGGUGCAAGCGUUAAUCGGAAUUACUGGGCGUAAAGCGUGCGUAGACGGUAGCGUAAGUCGGGUGUGAAAGCCCCGGGCUCAACCUGGGAAUUGCAUUCGAGACUGCUCUGCUAGGGUGCGGAAGAGGGAAGCGGAAUUUCCGGUGUAGCGGUGAAAUGCGUAGAUAUCGGGAGGAACACCAGUGGCGAAGGCGGCUUCCUGGCCUGCAACUGACGCUGAGACGCGAAAGCGUGGGGAGCGAACCGG